AUACUAUUUCCCACCCGGCUAACGCCAGAGUCACCUGCUGCAAGCCCACGCAUUGCAAUAAAUGCACGCAGCAGGCUGGGUAUUGUCAGUGAGCCAGUUCUCAGCAACUCUUUUUGUGUCUGAAGAUCCACGCCUCGUGCCCCGACGUUCUGCUCAACAGCUCCGCGCUGAUGCUCGUGUCAGCUGUGGUUGCGUUGAUUUUGCUGGUUAUUACCAAAAGGACUUCAAAUCUUAUUAGCGCUUUGUGUAAUUAUCUUUGUUCUCUCUCUAGGACUAAUUUAAGGGGUUGUACAGCGGUACACACCUCGCAGCAGCGCUUUCACCCAGCCCGAAGCAGCAGCCAGCUCCUGGGCGCGUGUUUUGUUUGCCCCCGGCGCGCACGUGGGUCGCUCGCCCUCCUCCGUCAGGCGCCGGUGGCUCGGUGAUCCAGGUCUUUCUGUGUACAGCAUGCUGGCUGGGGGACAGCAUGCCUGGAUCUCAACAGUAUCUUCAUCUGAGGGAGCCAUUACAAACACCCACCAUUUACUCAGUUACUGGUUAACUGGGACAGGAAGGAUGCAGCCUGCCGCUACAUCCCAGUUCCUGCCCCGUCCGCUGAAGGAUGUUUGUCUUGCCGCAGAUUCACUCACACCUCUGGGAGCACAGGGCACUGCAGCGCUCCUGAACAAGGCUUCGUCGGGUUUCUUCGCACACCGUCACACCUGCAGCGCGUGGCAGCUGCCGUGACCUUCGGAGCACCGAGGCAGCCAGGCUCAUGUCCUCCUGGGAAGGGACGGGAAGAGUGACAGAUUGGCAAAAGGAGCAUUAUACCUCUGACAGCUUACGGAUGUAUGGGAAACGAGGUUGGCAAAAGACAGCAUUAGAUGUUCCUGCUGCCAGCUAAUGGUGUCCAGUCAUGUGGCGAGUGGCUGCGUGGGCCUUAGCUGCCGACUGGGGUUAAACCACAACUUUGGAGAGGAAGAGAGAGUCACACGAAUAAUGUAUAUGUGCCCCUUAUGAAGAGAUGGGCUUUCUGACAUGGGGUUACCCGAACCUCCGGCAGCUGCUGAACACCCCUGUGCUAGCUGACAUGAAGACGCUCCAUCUGAAGUUUGUCACUUCAUAAGCAAGAUGAUUGUUAAGGUUUUGGGUGGGGAUUUUUCCUAGCAGAUGUUUGUCUUCACUUACCAUUUGUUUUAAUUAUUCCUGAUGUUUUUGCCUAUCAAAUCGCAGACUUCUUCAAAAGAAAAGGAAUAAGCAGUUGUCAUAACAACAAAGCUCUUCAUUACCACAGGAACCUUUGACAGCUUUAUUUAAAACAUUAAAAAAAAAUUAAAAGAAAAAUCCAACCAAUUAUUUUUAUCAGUCUGAUUCAUGUUCUUCUUAAACAGAUUACAGUGUGUUCUCUAGCAGUUACACUGUGAAAGGUGGAUGGCAUGAAUAUUUAUUAUAAUGUAAACUUUGGGAAAAAAAUUAAAAGGGGGUUUGUUGUCUUUAUGAGCUUCCUGUGGCAAUAGCUUGCCUUGACUUUUAAUUAGAGUAUAGGAUGUGAAAUUUCAAGGUGGAAUUUUUCUUUUUUUCUCACCCAUGUGAAGCAAAAUGAUCAUAGUAUGAAAUAAAAAUACCGAGUUAGCCA